rnacentral:rRNA from 1 species
GUGAGGAAUAUUGGACAAUGGGCGCAAGCCUGAUCCAGCCAUGCCGCGUGCAGGAAGACGCAUCUAUGGUGUGUAAACUGCUUUUGUACGGGAAGAAACACUCCCUCGUGAGGGAGCUUGACGGUACCGUAAGAAUAAGGAUCGGCUAACUCCGUGCCAGCAGCCGCGGUAAUACGGAGGAUCCAAGCGUUAUCCGGAAUCAUUGGGUUUAAAGGGUCCGUAGGCGGUUUAAUAAGUCAGUGGUGAAAGCCCAUCGCUCAACGAUGGAACGGCCAUUGAUACUGUUAGACUUGAAUUACAAGGAAGUAACUAGAAUAUGUAGUGUAGCGGUGUAAUGCUUAGAUAUUACAUGGAAUACCAAUUGCGAAGGCAGGUUACUACUUGUGGAUUGACGCUGAUGGACGAAAGCGUGGGGAGCGAACAGGAUUAGAUACCCCAGUAGUCC